rfam:Synechococcus phage Syn19, complete genome.
GGGUCAGUAGUUCAGCGGAUAGAACAACGCUCUUCUAAAGCGUGUGUCGGGGGUUCGAUUCCCUCCUGACCCG